GUCAUUUCAAAGAGGAUGAACAUGCUACUCAAAAAAGUGAGUAUGGUAUUCUUUACUCUACUUCCAUACACAUUAUUAGGAUAACAUAACUUGAAAUCUGUCCUGAAAAUAAUCAGAGGAUUUUCAUUUCAAGCUGAUAACAUUGUUGUGCUCUUAAAUGCCCUUGUCACUUACGAAAUACAACAGAAACUCUUCUGAUAAGACUACAUUAAUCAAACAGAGGGCGUUUGCUGAUGAUUAGGAAAAUGGGUUGGGUUUACAUACAGUACUUUGCCAGUGGCUCUCAGAGGCUUCUCUGAGAGGCACUCCAAAUUCACAACAAAUCAGGGCAAACUUAACUCAAUUAAUCAACUCAAUUAAUGUUGAAUACUUGUCAAUUUUUUGUCAUGCGAUUAUUUCAGAUGUCAAUGUUUUUUUUUCAAACCUGUAUCCUGUCAGUACAAGCGUUCACAUCAGUGACGUUUUCUUGUCCUGUGAUAUUGCGGUAUUUAUUGUUUCGGAUCACGGUCGAUUUUUCUAAAGUUUCGCAUACUUUGUGUCCACUUCUGACCGAUCAGAUUGCAUGUUGUUGCGAUGUCAGAUUCACCGGUACAUCCAACAUGGUUGACCGGCUGAUUGUUUACGUGUCAGAGAACAGAGUGCUUUUUGAUAAAAGACACAAAUAUUACAAAGAUAACGACCUGAAGGACAACUUGAGGAGAGUCAGAUUUCUCAUAUGUGUGCUUUAAAGUUUGCUGAACGUCUUUGUUUUAACUUUCAUCUGUGCUAGGUAACUUUAGCUCGUAAGCUAACCUGGUACUGGCCUCGACUUAGUACAUGCUAUCAUGAUAGAAAGCCAUCUCAACACUAGUGUCUAAUCAGAACUGAAAACAGUCUGUCUGCUGUUGUGUCAGUCUUCUCGCUUCCACCCGAGACGCAUCUUUUUUCCCCCGGAAAGUCGCAAAAUCGCAUUGUGCUUGAUGUGUAUAGUCGGGCACGUCAAAAUUCAGCUCCAAAUAUUUCGUAAUUUCAUACAUAAUGUUUGGAACUGUGAUCUGCCUAUGAAGAGUACAGUAAAUCCUCAAGUGAAGGACUGGUCUCUUCAUAGUUUUGACUGCCUCAGGUACCAGGCCUUUAUAAGAAGUGAGGGUCUUAUUCAGUCACUUCAGCCAAUUAGAAAUGACAUUAUUCACAAAGAACAAAGGGGUAAUAUUCCUGACAGUAAUGUUAGCCUCAAUUUGAAUAGUUCCUUAUGUCUUUAUUCAGAGCUAAUUGCACCUCUCUCUCUCUCUUUCUCUCGCUCUCUCUGUCUGUAAAUCAGCCUUAUAGCAAAAAAACAAAUCCACAAGCCAUUAAAGUGACAUUUUUUCAAAUUGUGGCAUAUUAUAAUCAUCAUCACUCUGAACUUUUGGUGAUCAGAACAAUUUCUCCUCUGAAUGACCCAAAUGUAAUAAAUCUCCAUGCUGACACUGUUAUAUUCAUUUAUUACAAAUUUUAAAUCAGACUGUCUCUGUCUGCGGAUCAACCUCGCUUACGCAGGCUGAGUUGGAACAAAAUUUCCAGGGUGUGGUAUGUUUUUAUUCUUUUUUAACCAGGUGUUCCCACAGGGCCACCGUAGCCGGCAGCACAGUAACUGAUGUUACAUUAAUCUGUCUGAUGGUGCACACGUUUGUUUGGUCAAAAAAAUUGUUAAAGCUUUGGAUGAAGCCUCACAUCAGUGUUGUGAUUAUUAUUGUCUCAGAUUAUUCAGAAUGCUUGGUUACAGUGCUAUUGUGUGUGAUGGAUUAUUUAUAUAACCUGUGUAUGAAAUAUCAUUUUACCCGUUUGUUCCAAGAAGAAAUGUGUUUAUGCAUUCUAUACACUCAGAUGACAUCAGCUUUGUAUUGAAUUCAGUCAUUAUCAUUGGUCAUUAGACAGAAUCAGCCUCUCCUUGAUAGCUACAGAAGAUUCAGAGGUGCAGACAGCGAAAUGUUACCAACCAAAUGUACAAUCCACAGCAAUGACAACUAACAGAAGCACAAUUUUAAUCCAGGACAGGGCCUUUUUUUCUGAAAAUGAGGAAUUAAGAUAUCUGCAGUUUGAAAUUCUGAUUUUAUCAUUUCUCUUUUAUGACAUAAGUUCAAUCUGUUUUUAUUUUGAUGUUGAGCUUGCAUGAUUCAACUCAUGCACUGAGCAGCAUUGAGGAAAACACUCCACCUUUAAAUUCCUUGUUUUUUUUAGUGUCCGUGGACUGUAUGAUAACAAUACUGUCAGCUGUCAACAGCAGUGUUAUUGACCAAUUAUCUGACCAUACCAUCAGGCUGUGGUGUAUGCAGGAAAACAGUCCAUGUGGAGACCAAACCUGAAUAGAUCACAAUGCUCCCAUCAGUGAUGAUCUAACACGUUUCUACUUACCUAAGAUUUCAGUGCGUGUGCGCAGCUAAAAUGUUCUCCAGGCUGUUAUGUGUCCUUGUAUUUUUGUUUGGUGCUAUUUCUGCAUCUCUUUCUCUCCUUUUCUUCAGGUGUUGCUCUUUGUAAGGUAUCAGCUGGUGAUUGAGCAUGAAGCAACUUUUUAAUCAGGUUUUGCAGUCAAGGAGCAGGAAAGAGAAGACAGUAGUACAGUAAGCAAUGAGCUUGUGUCAAGGUUCAUGCUUGAAAUGUAUUGUCUCAUCCUUCUCUUAAAAAUAGGUGCUUGUGGGACUCAAAGCAACAGCAUUUCUUUAGAUGGACCAUGCCAACAAUGAGACGUUGCUGCCAAUUCAAAUGAUGCGCUUGAACCGAGAGGUUGCUGCCAGUCUGGUCUCUCGGGAUUCAGAGUUAUUACAAUGUUAAACUAAAUGUUUGUACAAUUUACAGAAGAGUUCGUAGAAGUAAGAACUACAAAUUAUAACAAUUUAAAAGUGUAAGUCAGUAAAACUUACAGGAUAGUUAGUGGAAGUAAAGAUUAAAAGUUAUAACAAUUUAAAAGUAUAAGUUAGUACAACUUACAGGAGAGUAAGUGAAAAUAAAUGUUGAAAGUUAUAACAACUCUCCCGUUAGUACAACUAACAGGAGAGUUGACAAAAAUCGGAAUUCAGAGUUGAGCAAACUCAAAAGCAAAACUUCAAAUAUUUAGUUUAACCCCCCAACUUGAAAUUUUAUUGAAGCUUGUUGCUUGAUAUUUUGAGUUCACCCACCUUUCCUUUUUUUACAGUGUGGAGAGGGCAGAUCCAUGACAGCAACACGUCUACAGCAGUGAUCCAGAAGAACCCAUGGCAUGAUGGAGCUCAGAAACUCCCAGUAAAGACAGUGUAUUAGCGACUCUAUUAGGACAUGAUGAUUUAGAGUUAAUGAUACAGACAGAAAGAGGAUGGAGAAGGAGGGAAAGGUGCUUCAUGUGCCAGUACUCCAGCAGUCUAAACCUACAGAAGAAUAACUAAGCGGAGCUUUAUCAGAAAGGACAGUCUUGAGCCUAAGGUAGGUACCGUGUGCUGAUGCUGCACUGAGAAGAGAUGAUGAGUAACAUUAGCCUAUUGCUAUCUUUAUGCCAGC